rfam:Bacterium K02(2017) isolate K02 NODE_3_length_107546_cov_53.2907, whole genome shotgun sequence.
GGCAGGGUAGCUCAGGGGUAGAGCAGGAGACUCAUAAGCUCUUGGUCGGGAGUUCAACUCUCCCUCCUGCCA